rnacentral:lncRNA from 1 species
CGAGAACUCACAAGAACCUGCAGAUUCACGUUCAAUCGCGCGAUAACGAGUUGUCUCUCUAAAGACAGACACAUAGACAUAUAAGCAGUAGAUUGUGUCCUUUCAGAGGAGGAAAUCUACUUCUAGACUUCUAGAAUCAGCAUCUCCUCAUCCAUGGUGUCAUCGGGGUGAAAUGACGUCUAAAAACCUUUCACUUGUUCGUCUCCGCCCGUUUGCAUGGUGUGAAAUACGAUCCUCCUGAAACAUGGAGUGUUUUAUUUUGAAAAGAAGCCGGAUGUUUUAUUUUGAAAAGAAGCAGGAUGUUUUAUUUUGUGUCUGUGCCCGACUUCCUUUCCAGCACGGGUUAAUCUGUGCUGAAUUUAUCCGCCAUGCUCCGGCGUCCAGAAAAAAUAGAACUCUUGAGAUCAGCUGAGGAGUCCGGCGAUCCGCAGAGGAACGGAAAGAAGUCGGUGUAAAUUGACACGUUAACUUGAAUGGUUACGAUCAGCUACGAUCAGAGGAUACGACCUUUUAGGAGACGAUCAGGAUGAAGGUUGAAAUUAGGGGUUAGUGA